UACGGAGGAUGCGAGCGUUAUCCGGAUUUAUUGGGUUUAAAGGGUGCGUAGGCGGCUUGUUAAGUCAGCGGUAAAAUUUCCGGGCUCAACCCGGUCGUGCCGUUGAAACUGUGGGACUUGAGUGAAGUAGAGGUAGGUGGAAUUCCCGGUGUAGCGGUGAAAUGCGUAGAGAUCGGGAGGAACACCAGUGGCGAAGGCGACUCUCUGGACCGUAACUGACGCUGAGGCACGAAAGCGUGGGGAGCAAACA
rnacentral:rRNA from 1 species